ACGCGUUCCCCUCUGGAGGUAUUAAACCUUCAUGCUUGGCCGGACUUACCAGUCCGGCCUUUUUCUUUAAAAAU
rnacentral:misc_RNA from 1 species